UUUUCUUUUGGGUUUUACCAACCAUUGUGCACUUCAUAUACUCUGUUCAGGAUAUAAUUAUGAUAUCAAAUAGUUCCACUUUUAUUUAAGCACACGCCUAAUGUAGUUAUGUGCCAAUUGGCGUAUAUUUUACAUACAAAUAUCCGCUCCAAUCAAGUUUCUCAUUCAUGUGUCAUUAUUAUCGCCGAAUUCGUAGGCAACAUGUGCAAAUAUUUACAAGCUUAUCGAAAUACAACCGUAAAGGCAUGGCGUAGACAUUUUUGUGUAGGCUCAUAGAACGGCAUGUACACAAGAAAUUACGAUCGUGCGGCAAGUUUCAAUGUUUUCACACUCGCGCCGCGCACAAAUAUUAGCUUUGCCGCUGCGAGAUCGACAGAAAUUUGAACUAAAUUAUUUAUUUUUUUUUUGCUGCUAAAUAUUUGUGCGCUGCACUGAGCACAUGUUGCAUACAUUACUAUAUAUUUAUGUACAUAUAUAACUGCAGAGCUCGUUUUGUAAAUAUGUAUGUAUGUACAUAUUUGCUAUGUCUGUCUGCCGAUAAGCGCAUUCUAUGUAAUGCUCAUUAACGUUAACACAUACACAGACAUAUGCAUAUAUGUAUGUACAUAUGUGUGCACAAGCAUUUGUAUGUGCAUUUCUAAAAAUCUACAAUUUUUAUGCAGACUUUUUACGCCUCGAAACGUCAGUUGUUCUUGAAACUUCAGCCUAGUCGGAUCACUGGCGCUCCUCGCGCUCCAACGUACUGGCUAUUCAUGCCGCGCCAUGUAAAUAUUUAUAAAAGCCAGCGAACUGCCUCAUGAUGAAGCAAAAAACAACAAUAAACUCUACAACAACAAUAGCACGUCGACAGUUUUUUCGAAAACAGCAAAGUAAAAACCGCAUAGUUGUUGUUAUGCAGUGUUGAAAGGUCAGGUGCUGAUAAGUCGUGAACACUGAACGUAACAAGACGAGAAACAACAACAGCAACAACCACCACAACAACAACAUCAAACAAUAGCUGCAACAAAAACACCAACAACAACAAAAUCAAACAAUAGCAGCAAAAACACCAGCAACAACAACAACAAUAGCAACAACACCACCAGUAGCUGCGCCAACAAGCUAGCAAUUCAACAGUGAUCGCGUCAAAUGUAUGAAUACUUACAACAACAACAACACAAUAGCAGUGCCAUACAAAUAGCGAGUCGCUAGCGCUACUUUUGCAUUCAUUCAGCCGUUGAAUUCGUAAACACAAACACACUCGGCGCGCACAUAAACACACAUGGGCACAUGUGCGCCGCGCCUCACGAUCAGUUAAAUGGUUAGCAGCAGUGCGCUGUGGAGCGCUACCCAGCGUCGUCAAGGGGCAAAACCAACGCCAGCGGCCGGGCAGACAGAGGCGCGUGACGCGUUGUGUUGUGUGGCAAGGCUUGGCGUUUUGUUUGGGUAAACAUUCGUACGUAUCACGUACGCUGGCGGGAUGCGGCGCGGCUUUGCUGUAUCGGUGGAUCCAUUUGAAGGCUGAAGUUUUGAAGGAACGCUCAAACCAGUAUUGCCUAAAAUCUAUAUUAGAUGUGCAGAAAGUAUUGUAAAGAACUGCGAUUUCACUUGGAAUAUACACCCAAAAGUCAUAGCUUGUUUGUCAGCUGUCACUUGUCAGUUGUCAGCUGUAAGUUGUCAGCUGUUUAUUGUCAGUUGUCAUUUGUAAGUUGUCAGUUACUGACAGACAACUGGUAGUAAACCAUAAGCACUUGCUCGCACCGUGCUUCAUUUGAACUGAAAAAAAUGUAAAAUUGGGUAUGGCACUCGGACUACCGUUACAAAUGAUUUAAAAUUCAUUUAUUUUUAUUUUUUAGUAAUUAUAUAAAAUAUCCUUUAAUUAUAUUUUGCAAAACUAAGUUUUUUGUCGAAAAUAAUUAUUUAAACUUAACUUUUAAUUUCAACCGUUGAUGCUACAAUCGCGUUUGUUUUAAUAUAUUCUUUGAAGAGUUAAAACGAAAAGCUGACGUAAAGCAGUUAUUUCAACUUAGCGCUUUCUACUUGGUAAGCGUUGAGUUUAAACCUUUUGGGAUCGUUCGAUCUCUAUUUGAUGGCCAAUUGCACAAUUGGAAAUUAUUGAAUAUAUUUAUAACCUUCUCAUGAGAUUUUUCAAUUGAUAACUUUUUUUAAAGCAACUAUUCAAUAUUUAAAAAUCGUAGAAAAUCAUAAUAAACUAAAAAAUAUUUUUUUAAUUAAAAAAUAUUUAUGCCGUACACGUUUCAUACGCAUAAAGUCGCUAAAGCUUUUGUUUGGCGCUGAUGAACGCUCGCUAAGCCGAGCCUGUAGUCAGCUCUAGUAUUUAUUAUGGUGGCGCCUUUCCUUUAAGUCAUAAAAUGUUAUGUUUAUCGUUUA